GGGUAUUUGGCCGAGAGGUUAAGGCGUUGUGUUUAGGUUCCGGGACCCGAACAACAGGUUUGAGAUUCCACCCACCCGCAAUGGGUCCGCCCGCGCAGGUUCGAAUCCUGCAGUACCCA
rnacentral:tRNA from 1 species